GGCUGAAACCCGCCUCCAUGAAGUUGGAUUCGCUAGUAAUCGCGCAUCAGCCAUGGCGCGGUGAAUACGUUCCCGGGCCUUGUACACACCGCCCGUCAAGCCAUGGGAGCUGGGGGUGCCUGAAGUUCGUGACCGCAAGGAUCGACCUAGGGCAAAACCGGUGACUGGGGCUAAGUCGUAACAAGGUAAC
rnacentral:rRNA from 1 species